AUAAUGAUACUUCCGUCCGGUCAUUUAAGUGAGGGCGGCAUUGCGAGAUCCGCAUUGAGGUGAAACUCCUAUGA
ncrna:unclassified sequences pemK RNA